UUAUAAAUAUAAUUUAUUACCUGAUUAAAAAUUCUUUCUUACAUUUUGUACAUGUUGGCUGACAGAAUAAAUGCAGGCAAGUUACAAACCCAGGGGACUGCAGGGGAACGGGGAGGGGCAGCCAGAGAGAGAGCAGAGGCACCGGCCCUCACCUCUGCUGCGGCCCCUCGGCGGGCGGGUGCCCUGCCCGGAGCACUCCUCCUCCCCGGGUUUUCUAGAAAAAGGAAUUGCAUAGAAGAUACAGCGAGAGGGAACUCCGCAACAACAAAAGAAGCGUCCCAUGUCUGAAACACCAAGGUGGCCUUGUUGUGUUUAAAAAAAGAAAAAUGACAAAGCCCCGGACCUCCAUCUGACAUCCCUGCCCUUGAACUGUUCCAAAGGGAACAGCGGGUGGACGACACCGGCUCUUCAGCAGGGACUGUGGGGCUCCCCCUCUGACACACACUGGCUGUCUUCUUUAGAAAGAGCCAAGAGGAAGGCCAGCAGCUCGCUGCAGCUCAGCACUGAGCGCAGUGAACACACAGCACUGCGCCAGCACACGCGCGGAUGGAUGCUGUUCCCUGCUGCCCAGCGGGGGGGGGGGGGGGGGGGGGCGUGUGGCUUCCCCACCAACAGGUCUAGGAAAGAAUGAAGGGAGAGCGCACAUCACAGAUCUUAUGUCCCACGCGUUCCUUUUGCUGUCCUCUUUCUUCUCCAAGGCCUGGAGGAGUAACCACUUGUAUUUAUAACCCUACAUUAGCAGGUGUCAUAGGAGACUUUUUAAAAAUCUAAAAGGGCAAAGGCGUUUUCCACGGGCCCUGGCUCCCUGGCUCUUUUAGGCCAUUCUACCGUAAAACAGACGCGUUUUAACAUGACAACAUGGCUCAGGUCAUGGUGCUUGGAUGUUGCCCCAUCAUCAUGCUGAGGUUCAGAGGCCCAGGUCUCCUCAUGCUGUAGGCUACUGAUCAGCAAAACAUGCCCACCAUUCAGGUUCUGAAGGCCAGCACUGAGGGUUAUGACCGGGGGUCAGUGCCGUCGGGUUCAACAGCAGGUCUGACCGUGUCCAUCCCAGUAGACCUUUGGGAUUGAAGGAUGAUGACACAUAGGAUGGAGGCAUACUUGAAAGGGGCCCUGAAGUGCUAUGGCCUGGAGCUAAUAAUUUUGCCGAGGCACAAAUCUGAAAUGGCACGUUGAGAAGCUGGUAUAUUGUAACAUAUACUUUGGCUGGUGGGCAGCCGAUGGUAUCUGAGGGCAUCUUUCCUGUUUUCUACCCAACAAUUGGUGGGCCAUGACCCUCAAGACAUUCAGCAUGGAUUCCUGACUCGGAAGACCUCUGGACAGAUCUCAAUACACAAGUGGCCCGGGGGCAGAGGAUGGCAAAUAGCCCCUCGUCAGGGCUUGGUUUUGUGUGCUAGUCCCUGGGUGGAGUUUCUGUCAUCCCAGGGAUGUUUUCCUUGACCAUGCUGGACUACAUCUGGGACAUACAUUACAUUUGGUUGAAGUAACCCAUUAUUAUCCCACCAAAGAUCAAUACAGGGAGGUGACAGGCCACUGGGAAAUCUGGGAGCCAUCAAUUCUUCUGAAGACAAAUUUUUGAAGUAGGCUUUCUGGAAAUGGAGGCAAUCAUAGGUUGAUAAGACUAAAGGAUCAGGAAGUUAAUUGCCAGACUUGGUCUAUGGGGAAAACCCACCCAGUGACAUAUAAGGCCAUCUCCCUACUUUAUAAAAAUAGCAGGUUAUCAGGCAUGAAUUCUGGAAAUAGUUAUGACUUUGUUUGGUUUACUUGACCUGUAGGGACAUAGGCUUAAAUUAACAUUGCUUACAAUGUAUUUAUUCCUCUUAUGCCUUAUUCCAUUUAAAAAAAAUCUUUAGAGAUACAAGGGAAAUCUUUCAAAAUGAUCGUUACAGUCAAAGAUUAUACAAAUAGAUUUCUUAGGGUAGAGAAACAGCACUUCAUUGCACAGUGGCAAAGUUUUAAGAAUUUCAGUCAACAUUAGCUCUGUAAAGUUAAAAACAAAAGAAUAUACAGAAACACAAACAAAAAACCCAAUGUGUAAUAGUUGGUCCUACGAGGCACUCGAAAGCUAAAAAAAAAAAAAAAAAAAAAAAGUUUUAUUACCUUGAGAUAAGAAUAAAAAUAUUCCCUUAUUGGAUCUAUAAAUUUUAAUGCUCAUUGACUAUUAUCAUCUUUGUAAAUAAUUGGCUUUGAGCAAACACUUCCUGAUUCACAAAAGUUCCUCUCUUCUCAAAGAAGAUGGAUUAAACCCUAUUUUAUUUCAGCUGCUUCCCUGGUCCUUCUGUCUUGCAUCAGCCUUGGAGUUGUACUGAGGUCUCUAAGUGAAACAGGUAAGUUGUCUUGAGCAACUGCUCAGCAAAAGCUAAAGCUGACAUUCAACCUGAAGCUGGAAACUUUCCCCACCUCCUUUGCACUCUCUUGCAGGUCUUCAUAUGGUUUUUAUUCACUUGUAAAUUCUGGGGAGAUAGUGAUCCCCUUACUGGCUCCCUUCCUCCUACAUUGAUGACAGAAGAGUAAGUGGACCAAGAGCACAGCUGUGUCCCUGAUGUAGAUGCAGAGGGUACAUAAGAAAAGAGCCUUGUCUGAUCCUUUCCAGAAGAAGUAAUAAGUUUGAUUCUAUUAUUGGAAUGCUUCCUUGAAGGAAAUAGGAGAAAUGCCAUUCAAAUAUAUGCUUACAUGUGUAGUUGCCAGAGUGUCCUGAACUCAGUCUCCCUGAUGUCUCCAUAAAGAAUGGUCUACUAUUUGAAUGUUGUGAAUUGAAAAUCUACAGAAUAGUAGGAUAGAUGAAAAUAGCCAAUGGUGAAGCAGUUUAAUAUUGGACACCUCACCCAAGAUAUUGCCCUGCCUUGGAGGAGCCUCCACUGGCUGAUGGGGGAUGGUUUUUUCUAGGUAACUGAGGUGGGUUCCACGUUGGUAGUCAGUCACACUGUGUGUGGAAAGGCUGUUGGCUGGGAGGACCUUGGUGUUACACAUUCGCAUCACCUUGUGCCCAGUUAUCAAUUCUGAAUCCAACUUCUAGUCUUUCCAGAUCACUUUAAGGAAAUUUGAAUGAGUGCGGUGAGGGAAAAAAAAAGAAAGAAAGAAAGAAAGAAAAGAAAACUUCCGCCCUUAGGUCCCCAAAUUCAGAAGAAAGAAGCUUCUUUUUUUUCUCCUUGAUAAACAGCCACAAUUUUCAGUUACUUAGACAUAGGGUACUCAUUUUCAUACAUAAAACAUUUCUUUCCAAGCAGAUGCAUCUCACAUUUCCAGAAAUAAAUGUUAGAGGACCAAAAAUAAGGAGAUUUAAAAUAAAGAUUUAAUAUAAAGCCCAAUGAAAAAUAUAAAUGUUAAAAUGACAAUUCUUCAAAGACUGUUUUAUAAAGAUGCUUAUGUAUUUCUAUUAUCAAAAUCCGACUUGAGAUGUGUCAUGUUGGAAUGAGUUGAUGACAUAAUAUGCUCAUAAUGACAUGCAAUUUUUGAUAUGGGUACUUUAAUUGAGAAGAAAAAAAGUGAGAAUACGAAAACUGUAUUUGAAGUGAAGUGUCCGCACAUCUAUUUGUUAUAAAGGCCCUAUUGACUCUGCAGGUUUUCAGUUCCUUUGUCAACUUUUAGUGUUUUUAUAUUAAACUGAAAGUAGAUUGUGUUAUACACCACUAGAUGGCACCAUGCACAAGGGAUAGGUAUUCCCUUCCAAAUGAAGUAAGCCUUGUCUUUCUGCACAAGCUAAAUAAGCAUGAGAGGCAGAACUGGUCACAUAGAAUGGUUGGUGAAGUGACUCCCUUGAAAUGAAAUGUUGGCUCUGGAGCUUCUAAGUUUGAGAGCAAACUAAAAGUUAUUACACUUUUCCAAAGAAGGAAAUCAGAAUUCAUAGUGAAGAUUAUCUGACAUAAGUGGUGCGUUAUAAGUAUGGAAGUUGCCAUUUACUUGAUAGGAAACAUAACAGGGUUCUACAACAGAUGAUAGAUGAGUACCUUACUUAAUAAAGAAUCAACCACUCUUCCUGUUUCUGGUGCUGGGAUGCUGAAUCCAAAAACAUGAAACCUCUGAAGUGAACGCCAAAGGCCCUCGAUGGCUUUGAUAAUAUAGUCCCUGCCUGCUGUGUUCAAUAUUUCUGAGUUUAUGACUUUUUAAUGAUUUUUUUUCUAGUUCAAGUUUUGAAUUGGUUAUCUGGAUAGCUGGAUAUUUUCUCCUCUCUACUUUUCACUAGGCAUGAAAGUUCCUUUGAGAAGCCUUCAGAUUUCUAAUUCUUGAUUUCCAUAGAUGACAACCCCCCCAAACCAGUAAUGAUGAGCAAUCUUGAGAAGUUAUUUUAAGAUGCAGCAAUGGAUAAUAGCUCUUUUUUUCUCCUCCUCCAUUUUAAAAAAUAUAUAUUUACAAUUUUUUAAUGUAGAAUACAAUUUUACUAUCUUUUGGUCAAAUAUGCAUUGGUACAGAUAUUAUCCACUGAAAUUGUUUAUUAGUGCAAUCUUUCCCUUUCAUGAUAAGUGUAACAUAUUUUAUAUAUGGUGCAGGGAGUGGCCUGAGAGAGACUGGUUAUAGAAUGCAUACCUACAACAGAAAAUGAGAAAUAAAAGGUCUGGAAGAAAAGUCUCCAUAUCAAGGUAUCAGUAUUUUCUCAGUGACAAAGAUGGAGGGGGCUGGAAAUAUCUAGAAGUCACCAAAAUAGUCAGGAGAGGAAAUAUAUGUGGAAAGAAGGGAGAAAUAUCUGAAAUUACUUCUAAUUCAAAUCCAUUCAGCAACCUGGACACCUCUAGCCCAAAAGUCAACCACAGCCAUGUUUUGAAGGUUCUUCUUCAACUGCGUGGCUUCUUGUUUUUCAAUCUUGGCUAGGCCACUGGGCUGUUAACUCUCUAAUCCCCGCCUGCUGAAUGAAUUGAGUCCCUGUGCUAAAACAAAGAGCCUGUGAUGGUCCUAAGGAAAUACUGUAUCAUAGUUUACACAAAAUAGUCCCUUGAUGAACUAUUUUUCAGUUAAAAAAUUUUUUUAAUUUAAAAAUUUUGACCAAGACAGUAAUAGAACAUAAUUUGCUACUAACCAGGAAGGCAAAUAGUCCCAAGAGAGGAACGAAAGUGAUAAUAAAGGAUGCCAUCUCUCAGGGAACAGCAUAAUCCAAUGACGCAAAGACAAGACUUGAAAGCAUAACAAAUAUGUUACAGGUUAGAAUCAUUGUCUUCCAAGUUGGAACUAUCUGAAAGGCAUAAUGUAGCCUGGAUAAGAGUCUAGCCUCGAUGGAUCUUUAAAUGAUCCAGCUCAGAGUCCACUGUGGUCUUCACACUGGUGAAUGGCACUGGAGUGGAGGCCCAGCGUUUUGGAACCUUGAGAUUCUCUAACCCCACCCCACUAUUUAACAGGCGAGGACACUGAGGUCUGGUGAGGUUAAAUGACUUUCCCAAGGGAGCACAGCUAGACAAUGACAAACCCAGAAUGAGAAUUGGUCUCCUGAUUUCCAUGUCAGAGGCCUCCUCCAAACCCGCUGCCUCUAAGGGAGAGAGUCCUGAGGGCAGUCAGUGUGGGGCCACAGGACCCCAAUAUUAAGUGAACUUGAAUAGAGGACUCAGAGGAGAAAGACCCUGCCUGAGCAAGCCGCAAGAACAGACGGACAAAGCCAGUAAGCAUUUACUACCUUUCUGGGGCAAAAUGGUGGGAAAAGAUGAAAGGUCAAGGAAGCAAUGACUGUUUAAUUAAACUGGUGACCACGCCCACCUUGUUAUGGGAGAAGGUGAGGCAGGUCUAGUCAAUAGCUAAAUACUAACAGUACUGCUAACAAAAACCGAAGCUAAAAGAAAAGCCUUUUACUAGAAUACUUGUAAAUACUCAUCAAUAAUAAUAAUGAUAAUAAUGAUACCUUAAAAAACACCACUUCAGAUUGCAUAUUACAAACACACAUGUUGUGAAGAAAUGCUUGUUUGUGUGGUUGAACGUGAAUCACUGUCUUUCCUGCAACGCUGCAGCUUUAUUCCCAGAGGGCACCGGGUGGGUGUCCUGAAGGAAUAAGGACUCUUAGCUAUUUCUCCUUCACACUUAGAUUCUCCACUUCCCUGAUACAAACAGUAACACUGGUUUUACAAGUUCUAGAAACAGAACACGAUGGGAGGAUUAUCUGAGACACUUGAUGCACGUGAUUUGUAGCAAAAGUCUGUGAUUUCUCUGUGAAUUACUAAUCUGAAA